CCGGUGACGUAUCCUUCAAAUGUCUGACUUAUCAGCUUUCGAUGGUAGACUCUGCGUCUACCAUGGCCCUCACGGGUAACGGGGAAUCAGGGUUCGAUUCCGGAGAGGGAGCCUGAGAAACGGCUACCACAUCCAAGGAAGGCAGCAGGCACGCAAAUUACCCACUCCCGGCACGGGGAGGUAGUGACAAAAAAUAACGAUACGGGACUCAUCCGAGGCCCCGUAAUCGGAAUGAGAACACACUAAAUCCUUUAACGAGGAUCUAUCAGAGGGAAAGUCCGGUGCCAGCCGCCGCGGUAACUCCGGCUCUGAUAGCGUAUAUUAAAGUUGUUGCGGUUAAAAAGCUCGUAGUUGGUUCUGCGUACCACGCUGUCGGUUCACCGCCUGCCGGUGCAACUGGCAUGUCGUGGCAUGUCCUGUCGGUGGCCGGAACGGUCCCGCGGUGGUGGCCCUAUGCUUCAUUGUGUAGGUGUCUGCCCCGUGAAGGCCUAGUACGCCGUUUCAAUCCUACCGCGGUGCUCUUUACCGAGUGUCGAGGUAGGCCGACAAUGUUUACUUUGAACAAAUUAGAGUGCUUCAAGCAGGCUCUUAAAUUAGCCUGUAUAGUGGUGCUUGGAAUAAUGGAACAGGACCUUGGUUCUGUUUUGUUGGUUUUCGGAAUCCAAGGUAAUGAUCAAUAAGGACAGGCGGGGGCAUUCGUAUUGCGGCGUUAGAGGUGAAAUUCUUGGAUCGUCGCAAGACGCACUAAAGCGAAAGCAUUUGCCAAGUAUGUCUUAUUGAUC
rnacentral:rRNA from 2 species